rnacentral:tRNA from 1 species
GUGAUCGUAGCUUAAUCGGCAAAAGCCCUUGGCUGUGAACCAAGGAGAUGCCCGUUCGAAUCGGGUGGAUCACC